rnacentral:rRNA from 1 species
AACGAACGCUGGCGGCAGGCCUAACACAUGCAAGUCGAGCGAGAUCUUCGGAUCUAGCGGCGGACGGGUGAGUAACGCGUGGGAACGUGCCCUUUGCUUCGGAAUAGCCCCUGGAAACGGGGAGUAAUACCGGAUGUGCCCUAUUGGGGAAAGAUUUAUCGGCAAAGGAUCGGCCCGCGUUGGAUUAGGUAGUUGGUGGGGUAAUGGCCUACCAAGCCGACGAUCCAUAGCUGGUUUGAGAGGAUGAUCAGCCACACUGGGACUGAGACACGGCCCAGACUCCUACGGGAGGCAGCAGUGGGGAAUCUUAGACAAUGGGCGCAAGCCUGAUCUAGCCAUGCCGCGUGAGCGAUGAAGGCCUUAGGGUUGUAAAGCUCUUUCAGGGGGGAAGAUAAUGACUGUACCCUCAGAAGAAGCCCCGGCUAACUCCGUG